CUUUUUCAUUGUAGCUGAAUUACGGGACACACUGUUCCUUUUCACCUCAAUAAGAAACGCGUAAUAUUUUCUCUGAAUACCAGACGGGACGGUUGGCAACUCUAAUAACUUAUGAACAAAAUAAAGUUCAACAUCAUUAACUUCAUAGCACCCACCCAGCUGUAUAGAAACUCCGUCAUGCUAGCUAGCACGCAGUACGGAAAAAGUCAGAAUAACGAAAAUAAACUCCACCUAAACUUGGUUCAUAUCUGACCCAGAUAGACUGCAGGUCAUAACUUCUUACCUGAAGUUCAGUUCACACGUGGACCGGUGGCUGCCUCGGGUCUCUUUUCCUUCUGCGUCCCUUUUCCUUCAUCCACCUGCUGGCCUCCACCACUUGCUAAUGUUACUGAAUCUGUGGAAGCUCCGCGAUGCCACCACACGAAGUAACGAGUAACGACCCUAUCUAAAUCCCAGUAACGACUAACGCGUUCCUGAUUUUGGCAUAAUAACUAGUUACUGUGCUCGUUACCACAAUAAUAACGUAGUUACUGUAACGCGUUACUUAAUAACUCGUUAGUCCCAACACUGCUCGUACUAGAGACCAUAUCAGAAUCAGAAUCAGAAUCAGAAUCGUGUUUAUUGGCCAAGUAUAUGUGCAGACACAUACAGGGAAUUUGGUUCCGGUAGAUGGUGGCUCUCAAGCACAGCAAUGUAAAUCUCACACACACAAGUGUCUAUAUAUACACAUUACACACACAUACACAAAGCUAUGUAAACCAACUAUAAAUAACGAAUCUAAACUUAUAUACAUAAAAUACAGAAAUGAAUGAGGUGGAAUGAAUACUACAAAAUGUACAUAAGGUGCAGUUGCAGUCUGGCAGUGGGAGCAGUGUGACAGGUCAACUGUUAAGAAGGGAGAUGGCGAGGGGAAAGAAACUGUUCCUGUUUCGGCCAGGAUAAAGUUUAAAAUGUUAGAAUGUUAAAAAAUCUUUUACGUUUCUUUUUCCAUUUUAUGGUUUUGUGUGUCUAUUUAUUGUAAUUUACUAUUCAUUUAUUUCUUUUUUUGCACCAUUUAUUUAUUCCAUUUUUAUUAUAUUUAAUCUGUCCUUAGUAGCCUUGUUAUGUUAUUUAUCAUUUCUUUUUCAUCUCCUGUGUUUCUGUAUGCUAAGUGAGUGCUGAUCUCUGGGUGUGGGAGUGGGGAUGGAGGGGUGAUGAGAGGGCGUAGUGAAGGUGAUGUAUGUGUAUUGUUUUUUGCUUCUAAUGUGUACAUCAUUUUGAGUGUCUUCUUUACUGUAUGAGAAGUACUAUGUAAAUAAAGUUUUAAGUGAUAUACUAAGACUUGAGGCAUUUACACACCAAGU
ensembl:lncRNA